GAUGAACGCUGGCGGCAUGCUUUACACAUGCAAGUCGAACGGUAACAGGUUAAGCUGACGAGUGGCGAACGGGUGAGUAAUGCAUCGGAACGUGCCCGAUCGUGGGGGAUAACGCAGCGAAAGCUGCGCUAAUACCGCAUACGAUCUGAGGAUGAAAGCGGGGGACCGUAAGGCCUCGCGCGAUCGGAGCGGCCGAUGUCAGAUUAGGUAGUUGGUGGGGUAAAGGCUCACCAAGCCAACGAUCUGUAGCUGGUCUGAGAGGACGACCAGCCAAACUGGGACUGAGACACGGCCCAGACUCCUACGGGAGGCAGCAGUGGGGAAUUUUGGACAAUGGGCGAAAGCCUGAUUCAGCAAUGCCGCGUGCAGGAAGAAGGCCUUCGGGUUGUAAACUGCUUUUGUACGGAGCGAAAAGGUCUCCUCUAAUACAGGGGGCUCAUGACGGUACCGUAAGAAUAAGCACCGGCUAACUACGUGCCAGCCGCCGCCGUAAAAC
rnacentral:rRNA from 1 species